CCAGACUCCUACGGGAGGCAGCAGUGAGGAAUAUUGGUCAAUGGUCGGGAGACUGAACCAGCCAAGCCGCGUGAGGGAGGAAGGUACAGAGUAUCGUAAACCUCUUUUGUCAGGGAACAAAGGCGGGGACGUGUCCCCGGAUGAGUGUACCUGAAGAAAAAGCAUCGGCUAACUCCGUGCCAGCAGCCGCGGUAAUACGGAGGAUGCGAGCGUUAUCCGGAUUUAUUGGGUUUAAAGGGUGCGCAGGCGGAGGUGCAAGUCAGCGGUCAAAUUGCGGGGCUCAACCCCGUACUGCCGUUGAAACUGCGUUUCUUGAGUGGGCGAGAAGUACGCGGAAUGCGUGGUGUAGCGGUGAAAUGCAUAGAUAUCACGCAGAACUCCGAUUGCGAAGGCAGCGUACCGGCGCCCAACUGACGCUCAUGCACGAAAGCGUGGGUAUCGAACAGGAUUAGAUACCCGCGUAAAC
rnacentral:rRNA from 1 species